rnacentral:rRNA from 1 species
GAUGAACGCUGGCGGCGUGCCUAAUACAUGCAAGUCGAGCGAACAGACGAGGAGCUUGCUCCUCUGACGUUAGCGGCGGACGGGUGAGUAACACGUGGAUAACCUACCUAUAAGACUGGGAUAACUUCGGGAAACCGGAGCUAAUACCGGAUAAUAUAUUGAACCGCAUGGUUCAAUAGUGAAAGACGGUUUUGCUGUCACUUAUAGAUGGAUCCGCGCCGCAUUAGCUAGUUGGUAAGGUAACGGCUUACCAAGGCGACGAUGCGUAGCCGACCUGAGAGGGUGAUCGGCCACACUGGAACUGAGACACGGUCCAGACUCCUACGGGAGGCAGCAGUAGGGAAUCUUCCGCAAUGGGCGAAAGCCUGACGGAGCAACGCCGCGUGAGUGAUGAAGGUCUUCGGAUCGUAAAACUCUGUUAUUAGGGAAGAACAAAUGUGUAAGUAACUAUGCACGUCUUGUCGGUACCUAAUCAGAAAGCCACGGCUAACUACGUG